rnacentral:ncRNA from 2 species
AUGAUAUAAAUAGUUUUAGGUUUGUAUAAGUUAUACUUGUAUGAUUAAAAGGGAAAGUGGUGAAAAUCUACUACAGCCCCCGCUACUGUAAUGGAAGACCAAUCUUAGAGUAUCCACUGAGAAGCUAUAGUAUUCUUGGGAAGGAAAAGAUUUUAGCACAUUUUAUUUAUAACAACAGAUCAAUAUAGUAUUAUAUUUUCAGGUAUUCAUAAUCUUGAUAGCUGUCUGAUAGACUAAUUAUGAAGUGAUUGUAAUUCCUUGUCUUAUAAAAAUAUACAAUAGCAUUUUGAAGUUGUUAUUUUCUUACAUGUGCUUUGGGAUGAGGCCAAAGUCAGGAGACCUGCCUAAAAGUAAUUUUAGUC